rnacentral:lncRNA from 1 species
UGAUCAAAACAGCAAGUUCAAUUUGUAACUUUAUUCGAAGAGAGAGGAUUAUUAAACUGUUUGAUGAAAGAGUUUAAUUGCUCAAACUAAAAGUUCAGACGUCUGUUUUAUAAAAGUGCUAUAGUUGGUACAACCUUUGUUCCUUUUCAACACAAGAGAGCUCCAUCAUCUUCUAUAUCUAUCUAUUUAUUAAUUCUCAAUAUAUAUACUUAUGUGACACAACCUCUUAUGUGACACAACCUUAUUUUUUUUAGGACUUUUUUUUUCUUUUAUGUAGGUCUGUCUGUUCUUUCUUUCUUCAUCUUUCUUGAGCUGUUUUUUUCUUUCUCUUAGGAGUUGUAUUUACUCUAUUUUUUCUAAUGGCCUCUUUAUCUUACUUGAUAGUUUUUUUCUUCUCUUAAGGGUGCGUUUGGUUCGCGCUAUCUUUUAAAGAUUCCUAGCAAUUCAAUGGGAAUAAAAAAAUAUGACGGUGUUUGGUUAAACGCACUAAGUAAUCUAGUUGGUAAUAUUGGAUUCACUUGGGAAUAAGAUUCACUCCAAAGUACUAAUCUCAUUCCCUUGAGGGAGGGUGGGUAUCCUCAUAUUAAUGGAUUGGGAUAAUCAUAAUAUGUCUAAUCCCUUUCUUUCUUCCUAUCCGCCGGCUAAUUGAUAUUAUUUUUCUUUACACUCUAACCUUAUAUCUCUCUCUAAACUUAUUUUUCUCCCUAAAAUUCAACUUUUUUUUCUCUCUCUAAACUAAGCUUUCUCUCUCUCUCUCUUUCUAAAAUUUCAACUCUCUCACUCCCUCUAAUUUCGACUAUAUUUUUCUUUCUAUUUUUUUAAUUAUGCUCUCUCUCUCUAACUUAUACUCUCUCUCCCUUUUUUCUAAAAAGAUGUUGAAACUUUUGGUAACAUUAUCUAAAAUUAAUUAAAUAAAUAAAUAAAUUAAUUGUAUAUUUUUUGUAAUAUUAAAUAACAUGGCUAAUUAAUAUUACUGUGUGAACCAAACACAGGAAUUCCACAUUCUUAGUAAUAGGAUGAAUAGGAAUAAGAUUCUCGGAUAUCUUUUAUUUCUAGUAAUAUUUCAUAAUGCGAACCAAACGCACCCUAAGAGUUAUAUUUAUUCUAUUUUUUUUAAUGGUUCUU